rnacentral:misc_RNA from 1 species
GGGAAACACAGAGAAAGAGAGAGAGAAGGCACAGCUCCAUUCUGUGGUCUGCAUUACCGAAUCUCUCACUUCCCAGCUCCUUAGCUAGCAAUGGCGGUAAUGCUUAGAUCUCUGCUCAGUAUCUUGCUCGCCACCCUCAUUUUCUCCCAGAUUACAGGUACUAUAACUUCUCUCUAGAUCUAAAACUAGCAUACCAUUUCUUAUAUCUACUCUGUUUUUAUGCUGGAUUUUCAUUUCUUGUGCUUAUAAACUUCUGGGUUUUGAUUUUCUGUACCGGUUGAUCUUGAAUCUUGAAAAUCUUUCAACAAUUUUUUUUUUUCUGGUUCAUUAUCACAGUUGAGGUCUCAGCAGCAACCAUAACACUAUACAACAAGUGCAGCCACCCAGUGUGGCCAGGCAUUCAACCAAGCGCAGGGAGGCCUCUCUUAGCUCGCGGUGGCUUCAAGCUCCUACCCAACAAGGCCUAUUCCCUCAACCUCCCACCUCUCUGGUCCGGACGCUUCUGGGGUCGCCACGGUUGCAAAUUCGACGCCUCAGGCCGUGGUCACUGCGCUACAGGAGAUUGUGGUGGUGCCCUUUACUGCAAUGGCAUGGGAGGUACCCCUCCAGCCACCUUAGCAGAAAUCACCUUGGGAAAUGACCAAGAUUUCUACGAUGUCAGCCUUGUAGAUGGCUACAA